GAUGUUUUAGCUCAGUGGUUAGAGAUUAGGUCUUAGACCGAAAGGUCCUGGGAUCGAAUCUCGUUAGAGGCAGAA
rnacentral:tRNA from 1 species